rnacentral:rRNA from 1 species
UGGAUCCAGACUUUGAUUCUGGCUCAGGAUGAACGCUGGCGGCGUGCCUAAUACAUGCAAGUCGAACGAAACUUCUUUAUCACCGAGUGCUUGCACUCACCGAUAAAGAGUUGAGUGGCGAACGGGUGAGUAACACGUGGGCAACCUGCCCAAAAGAGGGGGAUAACACUUGGAAACAGGUGCUAAUACCGCAUAACCAUAGUUACCGCAUGGUAACUAUGUAAAAGGUGGCUAUGCUACCGCUUUUGGAUGGGCCUGCGGCGCAUUAGCUAGUUGGUGGGGUAAAGGCUUACCAAGGCAAUGAUGCGUAGCCGAACUGAGAGGUCGAUCGGCCACAUUGGGACUGAGACACGGCCCAAACUCCUACGGGAGGCAGCAGUAGGGAAUCUUCCACAAUGGGCGAAAGCCUGAUGGAGCAACGCCGCGUGGGUGAAGAAGGUCUUCGGAUCGUAAAACCCUGUUGUUAGAGAAGAAAGUGCGUGAGAGUAACUGUUCACGUUUCGACGGUAUCUAACCAGAAAGCCACGGCUAACUACGUGCCAGCAGCCGCGGUAAUACGUAGGUGGCAAGCGUUAUCCGGAUUUAUUGGGCGUAAAGGGAACGCAGGCGGUCUUUUAGGUCUGAUGUGAAAGCCUUCGGCUUAACCGGAGUAGUGCAUUGGAAACUGGGAGACUUGAGUGCAGAAGAGGAGAGUGGAACUCCAUGUGUAGCGGUGAAAUGCGUAGAUAUAUGGAAGAACACCAGUGGUGAAAGCGGCUCUCUGGUCUGUAACUGACGCUGAGGUUCGAAAGCGUGGGUAGCAAACAGGAUUAGAUACCCUGGUAGUCCACGCCGUAAACGAUGAAUGCUAAGUGUUGGAGGGUUUCCGCCCUUCAGUGCUGCAGCUAACGCAAUAAGCAUUCCGCCUGGGGAGUACGACCGCAAGGUUGCAACUCAAAUGAAUUGACGGA